rnacentral:rRNA from 1 species
AUUGAACGCUGGCGGCAGGCCUAACACAUGCAAGUCGAGCGGAUGAAGGGAGCUUGCUCCUGGAUUCAGCGGCGGACGGGUGAGUAAUGCCUAGGAAUCUGCCUGGUAGUGGGGGAUAACGUCCGGAAACGGGCGCUAAUACCGCAUACGUCAUGAGGGAGAAAGUGGGGGAUCUUCGGACCUCACGCUAUCAGAUGAGCCUAGGUCGGAUUAGCUAGUUGGUGGGGUAAAGGCCUACCAAGGCGACGAUCCGUAACUGGUCUGAGAGGAUGAUCAGUCACACUGGAACUGAGACACGGUCCAGACUCCUACGGGAGGCAGCAGUAGGGAAUAUUGGGCAAUGGGCGAAAGCCUGAUCCAGCCAUGCCGCGUGUGUGAAGAAGGUCUUCGGAUUGUAAAGCUCUUUAAGUUGGGAAGAAGGGAAGUAAAUUAAUACCUUGCCGUUUUGACGUUACCAACAGAAUAAGCACCGGCUAACUUCGUG